rnacentral:misc_RNA from 1 species
GUGAAUCAUCAAAUCUUUGAACGCAAAUUGCACUCUCUUCGGAGAGUAUGCCUGUUUGAGGGUCAGCCUAAAAAAAAUCUACAUCGUUGCUGUUUCACUGUGGCGUUCGUCGGAGAUUGGGUUAUCUUAAUUCUUUGGUUUAAGCGACUUAAAAUUUUCUGUACGAUUCCAUUAACUUUUCAAAAAUUUAUUUCUUUGCACUUUUAAGGAAUCGGUUUUGUUCAGCUUGGGCGGCAUAUCGGAUC